rnacentral:rRNA from 1 species
CGGAGGGUGCGAGCGUUGUCCGGAAUCACUGGGCGUAAAGGGCGCGUAGGCGGCUCGUUAAGGGUGCGGUGAAAGCCCGGGGCUUAACCCCGGGUCGGCCGUGCCGACUGAUGAGCUCGAGCACUGUAGAGGCAGGUGGAAUUCCGGGUGUAGCGGUGGAAUGCGUAGAGAUCCGGAAGAACACCAGUGGCGAAGGCGGCCUGCUGGGCAGUGGCUGACGCUGAGGCGCGACAGCGUGGGGAGCAAACAGGAUUAGAUACCCUGGUAGUCCACGCCGUAAACGAUGGGCACUAGGUGCCUGGGGGAGCGACCCCCUGGGUGCCGGCGCUAACGCAUGAAGUGCCCCGCCUGGGGAGUACGGCCGCAAGGCUG